rnacentral:tRNA from 1 species
UUUUUGGUGGCUGAGUGGUAAAAGCACUUGGCUUCCAAACCUAGAGGUCUUGGGUUCAAAUCUUAGUGAAAAGU